UUACCGACCGAUAGUGAACUAGUACCGUGAGGGAAAGAUGAAAAGUACCCCGAUGAGGGGAGUGAAACAGUACCUGAAACCGGAUGCUUACAAGCUGAUGGAGCUCUUCGGAGUGACAUCGUACCUUUUGUAUAAUGGGUCAACGACUUAGUGUUGUAUGCAAGCUUAAGCCGUUAGGUGUAGGCGCAGCGAAAGCGAGUCUGAACAGGGCGAAUAAGUUCGAUGCAUUAGACCCGAAACCGAGUGAUCUAUCCAUGAGCAGGCUGAAGGUUGGGUAACACCAACUGGAGGGCCGAACCCGCAUCUGUUGCAAUAGAUUGGGAUGACUUGUGGAUAGGGGUGAAAGGCCAAUCAAACUCGGAAAUAGCUGGUUCUCCGCGAAAUC
rnacentral:rRNA from 13 species